CCUAACCCCCCCCCCCCCCCCCCCCGUCCCCUCCAUGGACGCAGACCUACAGGAGAAGCACAAUGACCCACACAGCCGGCUCGCACACACACACACACACACACACACAGUGGGGAGCCCGCACAAUGUCAAUGUCAGAAGAAGCUGCAGCAGGUUGUACAGGAGGACUUUUAGGAUGUUUGGGGGGGGGGGGGGCUUUCAGCGAGGCGGGUGGGUGUUACAGUACGUUUUUUUCAUGAAGACAGGUCAAAGGUUGGCCUGGACGCAGGCAGUGUGUCCGCUGCACUGAGCUCGACCCCUCGACCCGGACCCUUCCUGAUCACUGCUGUGGUCUCAGAAAAGUACUAAAGCAACAAGCUCCAGGCCCCCACUCAGAAAGACGACUCCACCUUCGGGUGUAGUUCAAUGGGCGCAGAAGGGGAAUUAGUUUUUAAAGCAGGGAUUCGUGGACUCUGAUGCAGAUUACUGAUCCCGUAUCAGUGCAGACACACUACAACACACAACACUCGGAUGUCUUCCUCUUAUAGAAUACUAGAGGUCAGAUUGUGUUUGAACGAGUGAGUGAAUCGAAGUGACCGUGGAAACACUCGGGUCUGAUCGAGUGAAUCCUUUUGUUGUGGAUUCUACUUCUGACUGUUACCAGUAAGCUGAUAAAGUCCAGUACAGCUGCAUUCCUACUUUAAAUACGCUGCAUUCACAUGAGCCGCAUCUCUCCCAACGCUCUCCCAACCACCCCGCGUUGCCAUGACAAUCUACAUAUUUACCCUCAUCCUUCUCUAUUGGCGUCGCCAUGGUGACUGAGCAGUGCGUUGCCGUGACAAAAAUGGAAAAAUGUUAAAGGGUGCGGAUGGAGGAAAUCGGAGUUCUGCAGAGCUGGAGGCUUUGUGUUGGUGCAACAUUUAAAGGGGCACUCCAGGGUUUGUUUUAUCACACGUUAAGGGGCACGGUGGGGGUCAGGCUCCAGGAGAACAUACUACACUUCCCAUCAUGCAGUGAUGGAGGGCGGGCUCUCAGUUACAAAAUAACAACCCUGAUGACGUCACUAUAACGUUAGUAUUUGUUUCAGGUUUGACAGAACUAAUUAAAGGACAUUGUUAAAACCUUUUGCCCAGCUGAGUACUAACUAAGAUAAGUUAGUAAAAUGAGCGGAGUGACCCUUUAAAACCAACAAAAAAUUUACACUCGGCCUACGAAGACUGAAUCCAGGUUCUCCUCGUAUACAUGACCAAGAAUUCAGAGAACAGUUGUGGUAUUUAAACUAUGAUCACAUAGAGAUUAUAUAUAUGGAUAUUUGCAACAAAAAAAAAGAAAUGUAUUUAUGAUGUGUGUGUCAUCCUGAAGGCUAUUUUCAAAAGUAAACAGGUGUAACCUGAGUGUCGGUUUGCUUCUCCAUGCUACUGUGGUCCGAGCUGAUGAAUCAUUGUAGGAUACCAUGUCGGGAUGUUUCCAGGAUCCUUUUUUUGUUCUGCCUACAUGUGUCAGGUGUGGCUAUGUGUAUAAUACAAGCAAUUCCUGUUGUUGCGUUUUGUUCUUUUUUGUAUGAUUUCAGAUGCAAUGUUCUGUUUUUGUUUUGUUUUCUUUGAAACAUGUGCCUUGCUUUGUGAUUUUGGUCUGACUACAAUACAGUAGGUGGCGUAUAUAGAAUAUAUGAUGAUCUCUCUCUUUCUGUUUUGCUCCCUCAGUUUGUGCCCCCCCCCCCCACCUCCCCUCCCAUGGGUGGGUUGUAAUAUUUAGAUCAUCACCACUCAACUCAGUUCCCAUCUUUGCACCGCUCCAUGUCUAGUUAUUCACAACCAGUAACAUCGGACAUCUGUUUUAAUUUGGAAUUUUUUUUAAACGGUCCACUUGACUGAUUGGACAGUCUGAUUUUUCCAAUUUUGGCAACAUCUCAGUUUGGUCAGAACAUUAGUUAAUAACGGCUACAUGUUAUAAAAAUGAGCUAUUUUGCUGUCCAGUUUGGAGUAAGAUGAGAAGAUUGACACUGUACACGUCUGUGCAGAAUGUAUGAAGCUAAAAAUAUAGAAGUCUGUAAAUGGGGCAAAAGCUCUCUCUAAAAAUGCGUAGUGUUUGUUUAAUUCAUACAGUUGCUGAGGUAAAAACGCCGCUGUGGUGUUGCAGCAUCUUUAGCCAGAGCCAGGCAAGAAGUAUGCGUUUCCAGCUUUGUGCUAAGCUAUGCUACGUAGCGGCUAGCAGUAGCUUCACAUCAAACUCCAGUUAAAUGUACAUCGAUCUCCUCAUCUAACUCUCUGCAAAAAAAUAAAUGUUUAAAUCUAAAAACAUGCCCGUGAUGAACACCAACCAGUAGAACCUCCGUCACCGUAGUUGGUGAAGCGGUCACCAGAUGUGUAAUAAAUGUAGGGGAAUAUUUAAAUUGUUUCACAUCUGGUGCCAUCUGGGAUCUGACUGACUUUUUACAGCCUGAUGUAUAAUUUCCAAGCAGAAAGCAUUUCAAAUCUAUUUUGUAGCACAUGAAUGAAUCACAGCAAAUUCCCCCGAUCAGAGGCUGCACCGGGGUCAAAGGUCAACUCAAACCCACUGCUCAGAGACCUCGGCCCGCAGGUCUCAUUUUGGUCAUCCCUCACGUAGGAGACAUUAUUUGUGUGUUUGGGCGUGUGGGGAUUGUGGUCAGGAUACAAAGGUUAAAAAAAACACAACACAGAUGGUCAAACAUGUUGUGGAACAAAAGUACAUCUUUUCUUUUUCUUUUUUUUUCAAAGAAAAAACAAGCUGUUUUUAUUUGUGCUUCUCUGAACCGAAACCAGACUGGUCUCCUCCGCUCUGCAGUGACUGUAUGUGAACGCUUGAGAGAGGCUGUGUGUGCGUUUUGUGUUGCUCUGCUAUUGACUGUAUGAAACCUGUGAGCGUGUGAGUGUGUGUGUGUGUGUGUGUGUGUGUGUGUGUGUGUGUGGUGACUGCAUCGUAUGGCCAUCUGCACUGAAU
ensembl:lncRNA